rnacentral:rRNA from 1 species
CAGUCGCCGCGGGAAUACAGAGGAUGCAAGCGUUAUCCGGAAUGAUUGGGCGUAAAGCGUCUGUAGGUGGCUUUUCAAGUCCGCCGUCAAAUCCCAGGGCUCAACCCUGGACAGGCGGUGGAAACUACCAAGCUGGAGUACGAUAGGGGCAGAGGGAACUUCCGGUGGAGCGGUGAAAUGCGUUGAGAUCGGAAGGAACGCCCGUGGCGAAAGCGAGGUCCUGGACCCUUUCUGACGCUGAGACGCGAAAGCCAGGGGAGCGAACGGGAUUAGAUACCCGAGUAGUCCCUGUCUCUUAUAC